rnacentral:lncRNA from 1 species
AGUGCGGAGCCUCCGCGAUCCCGCCGUCUUCGCGCCUUCUUCUCGCGCCGGUCUCGCGCUCCUCCUCGACGACGCUCAGCCGCUCGUCAGAUAGUUACCGCGAAACGUCGGGCUCCUCGAAAACGGGCACCGCUUCGCAUCGCACGUUCGUUACUUUCGGUGAAAUAAUAAACAAAAAUCUGUGCCUGACAGGACAACCAAAAUAUCUCAGGCACAAAUGACAGGUGAGGAAUAGGCGUCUGGUGAAAUGAACGGCGGAGGCCCACGGAAACCAUUGGCGACCGGCGACGUCGUUGCUCAGAGUCAGAAGAAAAGAUUUUGAAAAGUUGUUCCUGCUCACUCCGGGUGCACGGAGUGCCUUGUUCACACACUUACCGGAGUCAGUACGAGCUGAACUCAAGAGACGAGCGAGCUUCGGCUGUGUGUGUCCGUCAACUUUCGUCCGGACCGCCCGAGGUCGAGGAGACGUUCCCGUCAGCCGUCGGACACCGGCGGAGCGGUCGUUGAGGACACCCGUAACGGCGACGGCCAAGACGACGACGAUGGUUGGGAUCAGACAUCCAUCAUUGCUCCCAGAAGUUUGGAUGGAUUUUUUGCCACCUGUCUAUGCAUAUCAUUCAGCAAUGGAUUGGUCAUUCCCGUUAUACCAUAAAUAUUUCAACAUUUUGUGUGCCUCUGUAAGUAUUAGUUGGUGUGUGCUGUAAAUCUGCUAGCAU